UGUUCUAGUCAGAAUGAACAUGUCAUUAGC
rnacentral:piRNA from 1 species